rnacentral:lncRNA from 1 species
AAAAUGAAUCUGAAAAUUAAAAUUUAAAAUUAAAUUUAAAUGUAAAUAUUGAAAUUAAAAUAAAAAUAAAAAUUUGAAGUUUAAAUCCAAAAUCAGAAUCAAACUUCAAGAAGUAGCUUUUUUCAUCUUCUGAUUCUGAGGCCUUUAAAAUUAGAUUUCUGAUUCUAAAAAGCAGAAUCAUAUUUUAAAAGUGUGUUGCCAAACGUUCUAUUGAGCCGAAAAUUACUUUUCAACUCAAAAGCACUUUUUGAAAGUUAGGCCAAACACCCCCUAUCUCUGCUCAAGCUUGGCUUGAAAUUAAUUUCGAGCCUAAAUUUAGGCUCAAGCUUGGCUUGAAAUUAAUUCGAGCCGAGCUAGAGCGAGCCUAACUUCAAGUCGAACGAGCUGUAGCCCUAAACGAGCUGCUUGAAAUUCUUAACAUCAUGCAAUCUAUAAUUUAAUUUUUAUAAAAUAUUAUCUAAAAUUUGAUAUGAAAAAUAUCUAAUAGUUUAACAUAUAAAAUAAAUGCAUGAAAUACGAUAUUAUAAUACUAAAAUAAUUAGAAAAAUCGACUCUGCGAGGAAGGAAAAAAGAGAGAAAGAGAGCAAUUAGAGUAGGAUUUUGCUGGUUUGAUUUUGUAGGCCCAAUAAUCUAAAUUCUAUAUACAUAUAAUUAAAAUACAUAAUAUAUAUUAUUUUAUAUAAUUAAAAUAUAUAUUAUAUAUAAUUAUAUAUAGAGAGAGUUUGGUUACUAUAUAUACUUUUAUAAGUAUAAACCCCUUUAUACUUAUAAGUUUUCGACCGUUAGAUCUAUUCUUUUGACCAUUUUCAUCCGUUAAAUUAUACUAUUCAACGAACCACCCACUCAAUCUUAGGGGACCACUGUCAUUCUAAUCGCACAUCCAACGACCGAAAAUUUAUAAGUAUAAAAAGGUUUAUACUUAUAAGAGUAUAGUAGCCCGAGCAUAUAUAUAUAUAUAUAAUUAGGCUACUAUACUAUUAAUAACAAAAACCGCUUGCUAUUAGGUUUUCAGCCCUUGGAUGAAAGGAUGUGCGGUUAGAAUGAUAGUAGCCCCCUAGGGUUGAGUGGGUGGCUAGUUGAAUAUUAUGAUCUAACGGAUGAAAAUGGCUAAAGGGAUAGAUCUAAUAGCAGAAAACUCGAUAGCACCAAAUGCUUGAUACUAUCGAUAGUAUAAUAGCUGAACUUUAUAUAUAUAUAUAUAUAUUAUAAUAUAUAUAGGCAGAUUACGGCAAAACUUAAUAAUACAAGCGCUUAGUAUCUAAGAUAUAAUAGAUAAUAUAAUAGCCGGAUAUAUAUAUAUAGAGAGCAGAAGAGAGAGUCGCAUUACUAUAUUAUCGAUAGUACUAAAUGUUGGUAUUAUCGAAUUUUUUGUGCUUAGUAGGGGUGGACGAGACGAGACGAGCGAGCUUAUGUCAGCUCAAAUUCGGAUUGAAAUUAAUUUCGAGCUAAAUCUAGGCUCAAGCUCGGCUUGAAAUUAAUUCGAGCCGAGUUCGAGCGAGCCUAAUUUCGAGUCGAGCGAGCUCGAGCUCUAAACGAGCCGAUUGAAAUUCUCAAUUAUAUAAUCAAUAGUUUAAUUUUUAUAGAACAUUACCUAUAAUUUGAUGCAACAUGUCCAAUAGUUCAAAAUACAAAAUAAUUACAAGAAAUAUGAGCUAGGGUGACUGCCUGACUGGGUGAGGGUCUGAGGGAGAGAGAGAGAGAGAGAGAGAGAGAGAGAGAGAGAGAGGAAGGAAAAAAAAUUAGGGAUUUGGGAAUUUAAAUGUUAUCAUGUUUUAGGGUUAUGUGCAACAGUGAAAGUCUGAAAGAGAGAGUGUUAUGUAAAUUUAGAGUUGGGCUCAAUUGCACGGUUGUACUUAUUGGGUUUAUUUUAUGGGCCAACAAUAAUGGCCCAAAUUAAAUUAAAGCCUAUAUAUAAUUAAAUUACAUUAUAUAUAUAUAUAUAUAUAUAUAUAUAUUCGAGCUUUUCGAGCCUAAUUCGAACGAGCGGAGUAAUACUCAAGCUCGGCUUGAAAUGAAUUUUGAGCCUUUUAUUCAACUAACUACCCACUCAACCCUAGAGGAUCACUGUCAUUCUAACCACACAUUCCUUCAUCCAAAGAUCGAAAAUCUAAUAGCAAGUGAUUGGUACUAUUAAUAGUAUAGUAGACUAUAUUUAUAUGUAUAUAUAUUUCGAGCUUUUCGAGUUUAAUUCGAGCGAGCCGAGUAAUACUCAAGCUCGGCUUGAAAUUAAUUUCGAUCAUAAAUUUAGGCUCAAGCUUGCUUGAAAUUAAUUCGAGCCGAGCUUGAGCGAGCCG